CUUUGUUUAACUUGUUGGCAGGAUUGUCUCUCCUUGCUGGACAGUAUGCCAUUAAAAUCUCCUGCAAUGAUCCAGGGAUCAGUAAUACUAGCAGAUAGGUUGAGAAUAGAUUUCCACAGAAUCCUUGACUGUCUCUCCUUGCUGGACAAUAUGGCAUUAAAAUCACCUGCAAUGAUUCAGGGAUCAGUAAUACCAGCAGAUAGGUUGAGAAUAGAUUUCCACAGAAUCCUUCUCUGAUCACUCUCAUUUAAACCAUAUACAACUGUAAGACAGCAGAUAGUAGCACCAGUGAUAGUUUGAACAUUACAAUGGAUGAGCUGAGCUUCCUCAAGAAAUCCAGUGAUCAACACCUUUGUAGGGUCCCAUAGGAUCCAUAUUCUACCAUUCACUGCUCCACUGUAGUUAGUAAUCAUGUUCCAGUUAGGCAACAAAAAACNNNNNNNNNNNNNNNNNNNNNNNNNNNNNNNNNNNNNAGAUAUUCUACCAGCAUUGUGUUGUUUAACCUUAGUCUCUACAAGUCCUACAAGGUCAAACUUAUUAGUUCUAAAGAAAUUUUUGGCUUCUUUUUGUUUGUACCUUUUAUUUACACCCCUAAUAUUCCAAAAGAUCCACUUUAUUGAGUAUGGCUAGUUCCCCCCUCAUCCAGGGAAUGAUCAGCCCAACUAACUGUCCCAACUUCAAUUCUAUUAGACAUCACAAUAGGAGAUAAGGGAGGGAAAUUAGUGAUGUUAAAGACUGGGGAAUCUUGUCUAACAACCUUCUUCUGUUUGUUCUCACCUUCAGCUGUAGCUAGAGUACUUAUCUCCUUUGGUAACUUUGGUUGCUGGAUUUGAGCCAUCUGGUUGCUUUGGUCCACUGUGACUGGGGCUUUCUCUAUCCAUUCUUGUGUCACCUUGUUUUUCUGUGUAGGUUGAGCAGAUUUAGACAAACAAUUGUGUCCAACCUCCAAACAUUUCUCACAAUACACAGGUUUCCAAU
rnacentral:lncRNA from 1 species